rnacentral:rRNA from 1 species
AGUGAACGCUGGCGGUAGGCCUAACACAUGCAAGUCGAACGGCAGCACAGUAAGAGCUUGCUCGUACGGGUGGCGAGUGGCGGACGGGUGAGGAAUACAUCGGGAUCUACUUUUUCGUGGGGGAUCACGUAGGGGAACUUACGCUAAUACCGCAUACGACCUACGGGUGAAAGCAGGGGAUCUUCGGACCUUGCGCGAUUGAAUGAGCCGAUGUCGGGUUAGCGAGUUGGCGGGGUCAAGGCCCACCAAGGCGACGAUCCGUAGCUGGUCUGAGAGGAUGAUCAGCCACACUGGCACUGAGACCCGGUCCACACUCCUACGGGAGGCCGCAGUGCGGAAUAUUGGACAAUGGGCGCAAGCCUGAUACAGCCAUACCGCGUGGGUGAAGAAGGACUUCGGGUUGUAAAGCCCUUUUGUCGGGAAAGAAAAGCAGCAGGUUAAUCCCCCGCUGUUCUGACGGUACCCAAAGAAUAAGCACCGGCUAACUUCGUG